rnacentral:rRNA from 1 species
CAGCGCCACGAGUGGCAACCGCGAUUAUUGGGCCUAAAGCGUCCGUAGCCGGCUUCGUAAAUCCUUUGUGAAAUUGUCCAGCUUAACUGGUCAACGUGCAAGGGACACUACGAAGCUCGAGACCGGGAGGAGUCAGAAGUAUUCCAGGGGGAGCGGUAAAAUGUUAUAAUCCCUGGAGGACUACCUGUGGCGAAGGCGUCUGACCAGAACGGAUCUGACGGUGAGGGACGAAAGCUAGGGGAGCGAACCGGAUUAGAGACCCGAGUAGUCC